ACAGAACUCUCCUGACCUAGGUCAUUAGCCUAAGGCAGAUUUACUCAAGUCUGCCUGACACCAGAGCCCAGUCUCUCAACCACUAAACAAAACUGGCCUUCCAGUAGGUCAGGCCCUGUGUGCCCCUCCAGUAUAACUUUCCCUCGAGGGUGUAGUCCCUGUUUACUCUAGGAGUGUGUCACUGGCUGCAGCUCUUGAGAGCAAUGCCAGACUGUGGCUGGGGCUUUCUGCUCUUGGACAAAGAAUGAAGGUGACUCAGCCGAUUGCUUUUCUACAGCGUGGAGGACUGGGACCCCCAACAUCUAAGGAAAAGAAUGCAGUCAAGUUUGUCCCAUACGCUCCUUGUGCCCUUAGGCUGAGCUGGACUCUAAAGAUGACCUCCUCAAACCCCACUAUUUGCUGCAGGGGAAGUCAAGAAACUAAGAAGCUCAGUGAUUUGUCCGAGGGUGCAUCCCUAUUUGAGGGCUGUAGAUUGUCAGGAAUUUCUGAAGAUAGAAAUGCGCGUCAGAAGACAAAUUCUCCCUUUUUUUCAAGAGCCCAGAGCACAUUUGCCUCGUUUUUCCGAAGCAGGUCUCAGCCUUCAUGCAAGGUGGAUCUGCGAGGGGAAAUGGGGAGAAAAAUUCCAGGCCAAGGAAAGCUAGGAGGAAAGUUGUGCUAUUGUUCAAGUCCAGAGGAAAAUGAGGGAAGGACAGGGCAACAAGAAGGUAAGGGUCCUUCCCAACCCUCAUAUACCUCAUCUCAUCUGUUCCUCUCAAUAGAAGACAUGGUGCCUACCCGGAAAGCAACUGCUGGUCCUCGGUGGCUGCUGUGCUGGGCCCAUGGACUGGUCGCUGAUCUAAGCACAGCACUGCUGGGAAUUGUUCAAUUCCAAGCCGUCUCUUAUUUCUCCUUCUAAGAGCACUAUGCUGUGUCAUAUAUAAGCUCCCCCCCGAUUCUUCCCCCUCAUCCCCUUUCCUUCUCCAGAAAAUGAAGAUAACAAUUCUAUUAUUGUAGAGUGAUUGUAGGCAUUUAACAAGAUUCUCCUAAAUGUAAAUCACCCUGCACAGCAUUGGCCCACAGCAGGAACUCAAGUGGUUCAUUUCAGGCACCCAGGACUGCUGGUGACACUCAGCAUCCCUGGUCCUGAGCAAACCUCGUGGCUGACCGUUCAGAGCCUCCAGAACACUGAGCUAACUGAUUCAAUGAAUAAAGCAGAAAACAAACCAAACGGGAGAGGAGAGCGCAACACACAGGUGGGCAUCCUGCCCCCAUCCACUUAUUUUCUUUAGAAAGUCUAUUUCGAGGGAUGUCAAUGAUCUUACCUGAAGCAGAGAAGAGAAUGGGGGGUUUUCCCACUUUAACAUUUGUGAGGACAUCUUUCCUUACCUUGCUCUGUGCUAAAAAUGCAGAAAUAUAAAUAGUGAUGUAAACAGGCAGGUUUUACUCUGUGUACCGCUUUGAAAACCGAUUUCUACUUGCUUAAUACCUCAUUAAGGGCCAAUCCUUCUCUUCUCUGCCAUGAUCCACUCUCAAGGGAGUGGACAGUCCCACAAGAAUGACAUUAAGUCUUUCAGAAGGCAAUGUCCUGGUGAUCUAGUUAAUGUCCACAAGGCAGUACUUCUUAAUUCUGACAGACAGAGGUCCCAGGUACCAACAGGAACCUCUGGGAGACAUACUUUUAGCAUAUGCAGACCUGUGGAAAGCUGCAAUAACAUUCGCCAUUACAAGAUGGCGCUGGCUUCCGCUGCACCAGCCCGACUUCUUUUCAGGAAACUAGCUGUGUGCGCAUGUGCAAGAGUGUGUUCGCGCCAAGUCUUUGCCCACCCCGGGGCGUGCCAGUGAGAUCAUGGGUAAGCAACCAAUCAGGCGUGGACAUGCCGUGCUAGGGUUGUAUUUAUUUAUUUAUUUAUUUAUUUAUUUAUUUAUUUUCUUUCUUUCGGAGCUGGGGAUCGAACCCAGGGCCUUGCGGUUGCUAGGCAAGCGCCCUACCACUGAGCCAAAUCCCCAACCCCCGUGCUAGGGUUUUAUAAGCAGCGCCUUUCUGGGCCCCGGUCUCUCCUCUUCAAGAUGUAAUAAACGCUUUGCUGCAGAAGGAUCCUGGUGUCCACGAGUGUUCUUGCUGGCGAGAUGAUAGCGCGGGACACAGACCCACAGAUAUAAACUAACCAAGAAACAAGAGGAGAAGAUGGCAGUGGAUGUCAGGCACUAGGAGAGGACGGGACAGAUGGCAAUGGAUGUCAGGCACUAGGAGAGGGAUGGGACAGUUGGCAAUGGGUGGGUGCAGGGUACUUCUUUAGAAGGGAGGGACAAGAAACAAAAUAUGUUACAAAGGCAGCCAUGAAAGGACCACUAAAGAAUGUUCUAGAAGAAACAAGAGCAAGCACAGAGGAGGUGAGAAAGCACCGUGGUGUCAGAGGCACUGCAAGGGGACAGGAGACUGCUGGAAAGCAGUUCCCACUGAAGAGUUGGCCAGGGUCUGGGUGAAGUGGCCACAGUAAGAGGGUUGAACUUUCUUACAACCGAGUGGGAGCUCAUUGCAGAGAUCCAAGCAACAUGGGUGAAAUUUCAUUUUUAAAAGACUUCCUGUGGAAAUGAAAUCAUACAGGAGUACAACUAGUUGGAGAACGGUCUAAUGAUUUUUAUAUUAAAUCAUACAGAACUUAAUAACCCAAUGAUGUGCUCCUAAAAAUAUCCCUCCCAGAGGUGCAUAUAUAAUGGAGUGUUUAAA